CAAUGUUCAGUCCAUACAAGUCUAAGCUUCAACGUCAAUUUAGUGAAGAGGAUCGGAAGUAUGAGAAUCAAAAGAAAAGAUCUAAGAGACUCUCUGAAUGGAAAUGGGUCGAGGUUAUAAAUUUAGAUGAUUCUGAGGACGAUGAGAAAGAAGAUGAAUUAGAUGAUACUGCUGAUUCGAGCACAAACAAGAAAAACGGAUCAAAAAAGUAGAGAUUUUAGAUGAAAUAUAUCAAGUGUUUUUAUGUUUUUUUUUUUCAUUUUCAGUUGUUUUUGUUUGAUAUAGACUAUCCCAUGAAUAAUAAAGUUUAUUUUAUAUUUGAA